rnacentral:lncRNA from 1 species
ACGUAUAUAUAAACAAUCGUUAUGUAUAAUAGAAUAGAUAACGGAUAUAAUACUAUAGAUAACGGAUUAUAUCCGUUAUGUAUAAUAGAAUAGAUAACGCUUAAAUCUCCGUUAUGUAUGAAAUCCACAUACAUUACACCAUUAUAUAUUACGGAUGUUUUCUCACAUAGAUAACGGAUAAAAUCCGUUAUCUAUGAGCGAAUCUGGCGUAGUGA